GACAGAGGGGGCAAGCGUUGCUCGGAAUUAUUGGGCGUAAAGGGCGCGUAGGCGGCUUUUCAAGUGACGGGUGAAAUCCCUCGGCUUAACCGAGGAACUGCCUGUCAGACUGGAAGGCUUGAGACCGGGAGAGGUGAGUGGAAUUCCCAGUGUAGCGGUGAAAUGCGUAGAUAUUGGGAGGAACACCAGUGGCGAAGGCGGCUCACUGGACCGGAACUGACGCUGAGGCGCGAAAGCGUGGGGAGCAAACAGG
rnacentral:rRNA from 1 species